rnacentral:rRNA from 1 species
UUGGUUAAGCUAAUAAGAGCGCAGGGUGGAUGCCUUGGCACUAAGAGCCGAUGAAAGACGUGAUAAGCUGCGAAAAGCUUCGGGGAGGAGCAAAUAUCCUUUGAUCCGGAGGUAUCUGAAUGGGGAAACCUACUUGAGCAACCCUCAAGUGUCGUAUGGUGAAUACAUAGCCAUACGUCGGGAACCCGGUGAACUGAAACAUCUAAGUAACCGGAGGAAGAGAAAGAAACAUCGAUUCCCAGAGUAGCGGCGAGCGAAAUGGGAAGAGCCCAAACCAGCGUGCGUGCAUGCUGGGGUUAUGGACCGCAUAAGUGAGCCGAUCUGUUAAUGGAACUGCCUGGGAAGGCAGGCCAUAGAGGGUGAGAGCCCCGUACAUGAAAACAGUAGGCAGCGGCGGUAUCCAGAGUACCACGAGACACGAGAAACCUUGUGGGAAGUCGGAGGGACCACCCUCCAAGGCUAAAUACUACUUAGUGACCGAUAGCGCAUAGUACUGUGAAGGAAAGGUGAAAAGGACCCCGGGAGGGGAGUGAAAGAGAACCUGAAACCCUGUGUUUACAAGCUGUGGGAGCACGUUAAGGUGCGACCGCGUACUUUUUGUAGAACGGUCCGGCGAGUUGCCGGUACUGGCAAGGUUAAGCACUUAAGGUGCGGAGCCGAAGGGAAACCAAGUCUUAAAUGGGCGUCAAGUCAGUACAGGCAGACCCGAAACCGGGUGACCUAUCCAUGUCCAGGUUGAAGCGGAAGUAAAAUUCCGUGGAGGACCGGAUCCACAUCCGUUGAAAAGGGUGGGAAUGAGGUGUGGAUAGGGGAGAAAUUCCAAUCGAACCCGGAGAUAGCUGGUUCUCCUCGAAAUAGCUUUAGGGCUAGCCUCGUAACAAGUUUAGCGGAGGUAGAGCACUGAAUUCCUAAGGGGGCGUCAAAGCUUACCAAGGGAUAUCAAACUCCGAAUGCCGCAUAAAUGAUGUACGGGAGUCAGACUGCACGAGAUAAGUUGGGUAGUCAAAAGGGAAAGAGCCCAGACCUACAGCUAAGGUCCCAAAGUGUGUGUUAAGUGGAAAAGGAUGUGGGAUUUCAAAGACAACUAGGAUGUUGGCUCAGAAGCAGCCACACAUUCAAAGAGUGCGUAAUAGCUCACUAGUCGAGAGGUCCUGCGCCGAAAAUGUCCGGGGCUGAAACACAACACCGAAGCUUAGGAACCACGUAAGUGGUUGGUAGAGGAGCAUUCUUAGGACGGCGAAGCGGUACCGAUGAGGAGCCGUGGAGUGCUAAGAAGAGAGAAUGCCGGAAUGAGUAGCGAGAUGGAGGUG